AUGGUUUGCUGGGGUUAUAUGAUACCUAUGCCCAUUCCUCAAUUUGUUUCGGAAGCUUUGGAUAUAGAAACCCCUGAUAAACGUAGGAAGAUGAUGAUUGCGUGUACUCAGCCUCGUAGAGUGGCUGCGAUGUCUGUUUCCAGGCGUGUGGCUGAGGAGAUGGAUGUCAACAUUGGAGAAGAGGUUGGUUGGCUACAGCAUCAGAUUUGAGGAUUGCAGUAGUGCCAGGACACUUUUGAAGUAUCUCACUGAUGGUAUGCCUCUGAGAGAGGCAAUGACGGAUCCGCUUUUGGAACGAUACAAAGUAAUUAUUCUUGACGAAGCACACGAGAGGACUUUGGCUACAGAUGUGCUGUUUGGCCUUCUUAAGGAAGUGCUUAGAAAUAGACCUGACUUGAAGUUAGUUGUUAUGAGUGCAACACUUGAAGCUGAGAAUUUCCAGGGAUAUUUUAGCAGGGCCCCUCUUAUGAAGGUUCCUGGAAGACUACAUCCGGUGGAAAUCUUCUAUACUCAGGACCCAGAAAGGGAUUAGUUGGAGGCUGCUAUUAGGACGGUGGUGCAGAUUCACAUGUGUGAACUCCCUGGAGAUAUACUCGUUUUUCUCACUGAAGAGGAAGAGAUUGAGGAUGCAUGCCGCAAAAUAAACAAAGAAAUUUCCAAUAUGGGAGACCAGGUGGGCCCUGUGAAAGUGGUGCCCUUGUGUAUUCUACUCUUCCUCCUGCAAUGCAGCAGAAGAUUUUCAAGCCAGCUCCACCUCCAGUUAAGGAGGGAGGGCAUCCUGGAAGGAAGAUUAUGGUAUCAACAAAAAUAGCAGAAACGUCCUUGACAAUUGAUAGUAUAGUCUAUAUUAUUGACCCUGGAUUUGCUAAGCAGCAGGUUUAUAACCCUCGAAUCCGUGUUGAGUCUUUGUUGGUGUCUCCAAUAUCAAAGGCUAGUGCACACCAGAGAUCUGGACGUGCUGGAAGAACUCAACCAGGGAAAUGUUUUAGACUUUAUACUGAAAAAGUUUCAACAAUGAUCUUCUGCCGCAGACCUAUCCUUAAAUCCCUGGAUUUGCUAAGCAGCAGGUUUAUAACCCUCGAAUGCGUGUUGAGUCUUUGUUGGUGUCUCCAAUAUCAAAGGCUAGUGCACACCAGAGAUCUGGACAUGCUGGAAGAACUCAACCAGGGAAAUGCUUUAGACUUUAUACUGAAAAAGUUUCAACAAUGAUCUUCUGCCGCAGACCUAUCCUGAAAUUUUGAGAUCUAAUCUUGCCUACACUGUUCUUACCUUAAAGAAACUUGGUAUAGAUGAUUUAGUGCCUUUUGAUUUCAUGGACCCUCCUGCCCCAGAGACCUUAAUGCGUGCAUUGGAAGUGUUGAAUUACUUGGGUGCACUGGACGAUGAUGGUAACUUAACAAAGCUGGGUCAGAUUAUGAGUGAAUUUCCACUGGACCCUCAGAUGCCAAAGAUGCUCGUUGUUAGUCCUGAAUUCAACUGUUCAAAUGAGAUUCUUUCCGUUUCUGCCGUGCUAUCUGGUGUUCUUCUUUUAAUUGUUUAUUUUUGUGUCUGUCUAGACUCUAGAGUGCAAUCAUAAUGCUAAGGGAAUGUCGGUUUGCUGGGCUCCACUUUGAUGGGGAUGUCCGGCAUUUGUACAUCUGCACAGAUGCAAUAUUGUGCACAUGAUGGGAUGUUUGACUGCUUACACAUGUGCUCAGAUGCGCAUGAAUGCGUUUAGUAGAAAAUGUCCUGUUAGGUAGUCAUCAGCAACUGUCUUCUCUGGGUUCCAUGCCCUCGUUGGCAUGCACCAUAGGAUGCCGAGUAAAUGCUGAUGCAGAUAAUUGCAGUUUCUCAGUAUUCUCUCAAUCUCUUGAAGAAAAUGGUGUGGUCUUGCCUCUAUGCAUCUGCUUACCUUCUGUGGGCCUCCUGUGUGAUAAUAAUUUCUUUCUUUAGUACCCAAUUGCUUUGUCCGGCCUAGGGCAGCACAAAAUGCUGCAGAUGAAGCAAAAGCUAGUUUAGGACACAUUGAUGGGGAUCAUCUCACGCUCUUGAAUGUAUACCAUGCCUACAAGCAAAAUAAUGACGAUCCUUCUUGGUGUUAUGAUAACUUUGUUAAUCAUAGGGCAUUGAAAUCAGCGGACAGUGUUAGACAACAACUUGUGCGAAUCAUGGCUCGGUUUAACUUGAAGUUAUGCAUCACUGAUUUCAAUAGCCGUGACUACUAUGUCAACAUUAGAAAGGCAAUGCUGGCAGGAUAUUUCAUGCAGGUGGCCCAUCUGGAGCGGACAGGACAUUUACUUGACAGUGAAAAACAACCAGGUGGUGCUCUUGCAUCCAUCAAAUUGCCUGGACCACAAACCGGAGUGGGUUAGUGGAUGUAGCCCCACAUUACUAUGAUUUGUCGAAUUGUCCACAAUGUGAAGCGAAGCGUGUUCUUGAGAGGCUUUACAAGAAGCGAGAAAAGGAAAAGGAGGAAGCCAGGAGUCGUAAAUGAAGUCCUACAAUCCAUGCCUUUUUUGCCUUUGAAUUGGAAUUGGAUAUUUAGUCUCCUGCAUUUUGACAUCGUAAUUUUGUCACGGGAAAAUUUCCGAGUGGUACUGUUUUAUUACCUCUGAAGGUCCUAUUGAUUGUUAAUUUUAAUGAGAAAUAGGCUGUGUUUCUUGUACUAUUUAUUAGUGUAUUACAUGUUUUAUAUUCGUCCACUUUUUGCUCUUAUACACCUAAGUAUUGACCAUGGGAAUUUUACUAUUUUUAAUUUUUA